UGCUUCAAGACAAUUCAGAUGCCAGUGGUUUCAAAAUAAUCCUAAGGACUACUUCAUAACUUCCCUGAGCCUUACUGCACAGGACCCUACUGAAAUCUGACAUCAAUGCAACAGAAGUUGACUGCUGUGUUACUUUCAUUCCAUCUAUGUGUUUGGCAGCCUUUGGGUAGCUGCUUGACAGCAUUUACACAAUUUUGGGAAAACACAGUCUCUAACGCUGCCCUGCCAGAAGAUCCAUUCAGCUGACUGUGUACCUGGCCAACUGAUCCUGAAGAAGGCUGACCCAGCAUGCAAGGUUAGGAAAGAGGGGACCCACACACACUACAGUCAAGAGGUUGGAGCUUCUCAACAAACAGUGGACUUGUACUAAUGAUUUUUCCUCCUCCCACAGCCCUAUUUGUAUUCCAAGCACUGCCCUUCACCUAGGUCUGCAGUAACACUCCAGCAGCUCCAGGGGCAAGGAGGUGAGAUAGAAUAAAAUGACUGAGUUCCUUUAUUAACAUGGUGGUUCUUUGCAUGGGAGGUAAAGGCAAGUUGAUAGGAUAGCUAGGAGUGGGUUCUUUCCUCCAUCCUCUUCCCUGAGGCUGACAGUUCUAGGAUAUCAGUGGGUGACUGGUUUUAGGCUGCUCAGCAGCCCUCUUUUCUGUCUGAGACAAGUAGGGUGACCAGACAUCCCGAUAAAAUCGGGACCGUCCCGAUAUUUGGGUGUUUGUCCUGAUAUUUGGCUCCGCCGGCAGCACUCAGCUUUUUUUUUUUUCCCUCCACUGGCGGAAUCCCCCCACCCCCUAUGUGUCACGAUAUUUUCUUGCUCUCAUCUGGUCACCCUAGAGAUAAGGCAUUAGAAGCAUUCAUUGAAACAGAUAAUUGUGGUAACUUCUUAUUAGUGCUCAUUCUUAUUCUAUUAUUGAUUAUUAACAAAUAGCAAAAUGUAGUUGUCUGUGCAAAAAAACAAACACACAAAAAACUCUUCAGUGCUUCUUAAGAGCCCAGAGGAUGACACUGCAUCAUUGAGAGAACUUUUCCGCAAUUCAUGCACCAACUUUAUUAUUAUUGUUAUUAUUUAUUUGUAUUAUGGUAGCCCUUAAAGGACAGGGUCCCAUUGUGCUAGACACUAUACAAACAUAUAACAAAGAGAUUGAUUAUAAACUCUUCGGGUCAGGGACUAGGUACAAGACUAUAGACAGAACAGGCAGACAGGACAGACAGACAGAAGGAGCACAAAGAAACAAUGAGAUGAUACUAGUCAGCUGCCUAACUAUUCUCAGACAUUAGAAUCAGCUUCAAAAUGAGACCUUCAAUUAACAGUUGCAGAUGACAUCUGGGGGACCUGUCUAGUGCUUUAACUUUCCAAAAUGUGAACUGUGUUUAUAUAAUGCUACUGAUCCUGAAAGAUCCUCCAAUCUCCUCAACAGUGACAAGCAUAUAAUAACCAGAGACAACAGCUGUCAAACCUUCUCAACCCCUCCCGCUCCCCCCCGCAAGUAAUGUGCAUUGUGCAACCAUCUCCAUGCCAGACAGUCAUUUUGUGUUUUCUGCUUGAUGUAGAAAGUGUUGACAUAGACCAUUCCAAAAGGUUCCCUUCCAACCCCAUGAAAUAAUAAUGUAUUGGAUG